CUGACCGGCGGUUACUAGCAACUCCGGCUUCAUGUAGGCGAGUUGCAGCCUACAAUCCGAACUGAGACCGGCUUUUAGGGAUUGGCUCCACCUCGCGGUUUCGCAACCCGUUGUACCGGCCAAUUGUAGCGUGGGUGUAGCCCAGGACAUAAGGGCCAUGCUGACUUGACGUCAUCCCCACCUUCCUCCGAGUUUCUCUCGGCAGUCCCGUGUGAGUGAUACAACACACGGUAGGGGUUGCGCUCGUUGCGGGACUUAACCCAACAUCUCCCGACACGAGCUGACGACAGCCAUGCAACACCUGUGGCCAGGUCCCUUGCGGGAAGACAACGUUUCCGCCGCUGUCCUGGUCAUGUCAAGUCCUGGUAA
rnacentral:rRNA from 1 species